rnacentral:misc_RNA from 1 species
ACCUUCAUCUCUCACCUCUCCAUAUUCCCCCCUUUCUCUUCCCCCACAUCACCCAUUUCCAUGGACAAUCGUUCCUCAAACAAACGCCUCCGAGUCGACUCACCCCACUCCGAAUCCGACUCUCCCGAGGUCAAACGUCUCCGAGAUGACCUCCUCGGCCUUCUCGACGACGCCGACCCCGAUCCCACCCUUCAAGAUCUCGAUUCCGUCAUCCAGAGUUUUGCAGACGAGAUUUCCCCCGUCUCCUCGGCCACCCCCGCUGACUCCUUGCCGGAGCUCGGGUACCUUCUUCUAGCCUCCGACGAUGAGCUCGGUCUCCCCCCCUCCGACGCCUCCACAAGCCACGGAGGCGAAACGGAGGUGGGUGAACUGACACGGGCGUCGUCGGAGUCGUCUGGCAUCGGAGAGAUUUGGGGAUUUGAAGAUGCGGUUCCCAAUUACGAGGCGUUCGAGUUGGGGGAAGGAGAGAGAUUUUACAAUGAUACAGAAUAUGUGGCGUUUGAUGGACUGUUUGAACAUUCCGAUGUGUACUCUGUUUUCUCGUGACGGCGAAGUAGGAGGAAAGAGACAGAGAAAGA